AAAAAUCGAGUUUUAUACUCGCUGGUUUGUUGAAGUGUGUGUUUUAUACUCGUUGAGUGUAAGUGUGUGUUGAUUUUUCUUGUUUUUAGAUCUACGUUAUUUCUACUUCUAUUUUCUCUGAAUUCUAGCAAAAAGCGAAGGAAGGAGAUGAUUUUUUGGUGUAACUCCAAAAACAAAAUUAAUGGAAGGGAGGUAAAGUGUUUCGUUGAUAAAGGGAGGAGUUUGUGGAAGGAAGCAGAUUUUUAGGAGGGAAUGGGAGGAAAUUAAAGGGGAAAUCCAAAAUUAAUUUGAAAAUCGACAAAUUUAAUAUUUUUAAGGGAAAUAUUUUGAUGGAAAUAUUCAUCCGGUGUAAACGUUACAUGAUAAAAUAUCAUUGACUUUUUUUAAUAAAAAAUAAGAUUGAGUUAACACCUAAAUAUAUCAAACAAUACAAAUAGAGCAUCUAAAUUUAUUCGAUUUAAAUCCAUUAAGUUCCCUUCACUAUUGCUCAAUAAAUUCACAUCUGAUCCUCCUCCACUGUUGGAUUUGAAUUCACAUGGUUACAAGUACUGCCUUAUGAUCUUACAAUUUUUUUACUGGUUAUGUCCAAUUUUUCAACGAGUUUUUUAUCUCCAUAGUUCAACUAUAACUUGUUUCUGAUCGUUCAAUGUUGCAGGGUAUGCCAAGGACUAGAAAAGUUGAUUCCAGGGAGACUUAGAAACUCUUCAUUCUUGAGCAUCUUCCAAGUAAGUGUGAGUGUAUAACUUUACAACUGUACGAUUUCGACUUGAAACUGAAUAUAGUACCGGUUCUGAUUCUGUGAUUUUCUCGACAGGAAGAUGCCGCUGCAAAACUGUACCUGUAGAGGGUGUUUGAGAACGUUGCAAGUGGGGGCCUGCCUGCACUGCCAUCUCCAUUGAUCGAGAAUGCGAUUAUGAAUCUGGCCCGCAAGUUUUUUCUUUUUCUCUACUUCCAAAGUAACAGUCUCUGGAUUUCUGCAUAAUGUUGUUAGACUACUCAGCUUGUUUGAACUUCUUUUUGGUUAUUACAAUAGUUAACGAGCCAAGCUCAAUCUGAGCUUGAACAUGCAUAAAACUUGAUUCAACUUGACUAGUAAUAUACAUCCUAGUCUAGAAUAGCAAAGAUUCAAACUUUUUUGUCCUAUCGAUACCUGUCAUGAUUUUCACUCUUAAAACUAUCUCACCAUCUACAAAAUAAGCUAAUUUAUCUUAAAAAGGAUAAACAAAACUAAUGACACUAAUGAAUUAAAUUGACCUUAGAAGCUAACCACAAAAUACCCAUUAAUAAAUAGUAAAGCACCAAUACCGUUUCAUAUUUAUUUUGGGUUUGGCUUUCCUGUUCUUCGAAACCCUACUGACUAGGACGAACUAAGUACAGUCAUAAUCUGACCCGAUUCCCACCCACUAAUAUGGCCACGUCACCAUUCGCAACAUUAAUAACGUUUGAUACAUAUCAUUUAUGUUGUAGACCCGAGUUUGACUCAAUUUUGUUUAGUUCAGGCUUUUUAAGGUUACCCAUAAUCCAGCUAAUCAGGGUGGGUUAAACCCUAUCGAUAUCUGCCAUGAUUCUCACUCUUAAACCUAUCUCACCAUCCACAAUAUAGUCUAAUUUAUCUUAGCACAUAAAAAAAACUAAUGAAACUAAUGAAUUAAAUUGGUUGAAUAAAGUAUAAACUACUAAAUUUAAAAACUAAUUAGGACCCUUAGAAGCUAACCGCAAAGUACACUUAAUGAAUAGUAAAGUACCGCUAUAAUUUUAAUGUUUAGUUCGGGUUGACUUUCAAGUUAUCUAAAAACCCUACGGCCUGGGACAGACUAAGCCCUGUCGGAAUCUGAUAUGAUUCCCACCCACUAACAAAGCCACCUCACCAUCUGCAACAUUAACAACUUUUUAUGCAUAUCAUUUAUAUUGUAGACCCGAGUUUGACCCAAUCUUGUUUAGUUCAGGCUUUUUAAGGUUACCCAUAAUCCAGCUAAUUAGGGUGGGUUAAACCCUAUCGAUAUCUGCCAUGAUUCUCACUCUUAAACCUAUCUCACCAUCCACAAUAUAGUCUAAUUUAUCUUAGCACAUAAAAAAAACUAAUGAAACUAAUGAAUUAAAUUGGUUGAAUAAAGUAUAAACUACUAAAUUUAAAAACUAAUUAGGACCCUUAGAAGCUAACCGCAAAGUACACUUAAUGAAUAGUAAAGUACCGCUAUAAUUUUAAUGUUUAGUUCGGGUUGACUUUCAAGUUAUCUAAAAACCCUACGGCCUGGGACAGACUAAGCCCUGUCGGAAUCUGAUAUGAUUCCCACCCACUAACAAAGCCACCUCACCAUCUGCAACAUUAACAACUUUUUAUGCAUAUCAUUUAUAUUGUAGACCCGAGUUUGACCCAAUCUUGUUUAGUUCAGGCUUUUUAAGGUUACCCAUAAUCCAGCUAAUCAGGUUGGGUUAAACCCUUUCGAUAUCUGCCAUGAUUCUCACUCUUAAACCUAUCUCACCAUCCACAAUAUAGUCUAAUUUAUCUUAGCACAUAAAAAAAACUAAUGAAACUAAUGAAUUAAAUUGGUUGAAUAAAGUAUAAGCUACUAAAUUUAAAAACUAAUUAGGAUCCUUUGAAGCUAAUUGCAAAGUACGCUUAAUGAAUAGUAAAGUACCGCUAUAAUUUUAAUGUUUAGUUCGGGUUUGACUUUCAAGUUAUCUAGAACCCUACGGCCUGGGACAGACUAAGCCCUGUUGGAAUCUGAUAUGAUUCCCACCCACUAACAAAGCCACCUCACCAUCCGCAACAUUAAUAACUUUUAUGCAUAUCAUUUAUAUUGUAGACCCAAGCUUGAUGCAAUCUUGUUUAGUUCAUGCUUUUUAAGGUUACCUCAAAUCCAUUGAAACGGGCUGGGUUAAGCCCUAUGGAUAUAUGCCAUGAUUCACACUCUUAAACUUAUCUUACCAUCCAAAACAUAGGCUAAUUUAUCGUAACAAGUAUAAAAACAACUGUUAUGAUUCACACUUUUAAACCUAUCUUACCAUCCAAAACAUAGGCUAAUUUAUCGUAGCAGGUAUAAAAAACUAAUGAAACUAAUGAACUAAAUUGAUUGAAUGAAGUAUAAACUACUGAAGUUAAAAACUAACUAACAUCCAUAGAGGCAGAUCGGAAGAGCGGUUUAAUGGGGUUGGACCACUGCUGCUUGCGCCAUCGCUUCAGUCUUUGAAGAGGGUCUGACUGUUUCUGAGUAUGCGACAGGCGGCAGCCAGCCAGACAAGGUAGCUACAGCCAUCCAGCUCUCUCUAAUUUGUUGAAAUUUCCCAGUAGCUGGCAUGCUUGAAUCGACAUCUACCCCUCUUACUGUGCAGUGUUGAAACCCAGAAAGUAAUCUUGAGGGUGAUUUCAUUUUUUUUAAGAGUCGGCAUAGCAUAUUUUCAUUAAAUUUCGAACCAAGCACACGUACAUAUAUAUUGGUGAUAAAUAGGGAGGUAACUCACAAAGCUUAAAGGGUUGCAAUGAUUCAGGAUUAUGUACACCACGUCCAAAUUUUUUUUAAUAUCAAUGCUAUUUAGAUCAUUAGACUCUAGACACAGACUACAACAAAUUAUAAAUGACUAGAGGGCAAAACUUUUACGCCAACCUUGCAAAUCCUAACGCUAAUCGAAAUAAAGCAAUGGGACGAAAUAGAAACAAAGUCAAUCAGCACCAAUAUUGCCGGCUAAAUUAAAAUGGCUUCCGUUGCAUGGGUUUAUGAGUCUAUGAAGGAGGUAUAAUAGUGUUUGAGAGACAAAAAAGUAUCAAAUGGUUAUGAAAACAUUUGAGAUUUGAGAGAUAAAGAAGUAUGAAAGGAUUAUGAAAGCGUUUGAAACUUGAGAGAUAUAAAAGUAUCAAAAGGAUGUGAGAAUGUUUGAGAGACAAUAGAAUGUGAGAACGUUUGAGAGACAAAAAAGUAUCAAAAGGAUGUGAGAACGUUUGAGAGACAAAGAAGUAUCAAAGGUGUUCAUGCGUGUGUACGGUAAACGGCUGGCAAUAAAGUGUAGUCAAGUUUGGUGAGUGUUUGGAAAUCAUAUGUGUGACAUAUCAUGGAUGUGGCCGUAAGUCUAUCACGGGUGUGGCUGGCGUAAGAUCAUGGGUAUGGUUGACAACAAACCAUGAUCAUGGUUGGAGGCUGGCCACAUGAGUGAUAGAACAGUCACCACAAUUGUGGUUCAAGAUUAACCACAGGCGUGGUGGUGCGGUGGUCACGGGCAUGGUGAAUUUUCCACCAUGACCGUGAUGUGUAUAUUAUUUAAACAACUCAGCGGCCAGAAUCACAGCAGUCAGAUCCUCACUUUUUUUUCUAGAAAAUCCAUUGAGGAACACAAGUUCCCUUUAGUAUAGUUGCGAUCGCAAGGGAAAUCAAAGUUGGAUUUCCGCUAAUGUUCAUGUAGAGGCUUAGGAGGUGAGGGUGGACGUUUACCCUAACAUGUUGGAAUGUAUCUCUCCAUUCUCUCAUUUUCAGUUUUUCUUGGACUUGGGUUCUGAGGUAGUUUAUUGACCAUUUGAGUAUUUUUUCUGUUAGGGGUUCUGGUUCUUUUUGGAUUUCUCAGGAGAGCUAAAUCAAAGUUUAAGAUUAGUCUCAUGUCAGAUCAGAAUCACUGGGAAAGUACAUUGAGGUGAGAGUUCCUGUUUACUUUUACUGUCACGACCAAAGUAUAACGACAAGAUAGUCCUCGUGGUGUUCUAGUCAGUACCACGAGAUGGUUUUGAUUGUGAAGAGCUUAAAGCUCGUGAUUGAUUUUGCUGUAACGUGUGAUCUAUUGUGUCUUGUUAGGAUGAGAUAGUUCUAGCUUAGACUUGAUGUAUUGAUGUGUUAUAUGCCGGUCAGCCACCCUCGUAUUGCGCAAUCCCCUAGGUGAUGUGUUGUGAUGUUACAGACAUAUAUAUAAUGUCAAGGUCGCUUUUCGCACGGGCUUGUAAAGUUAUGCCAAGGUCGCUACUCACACAGUUUUGGAAGUUCUGCGUUUUGAUCCACUAUAGGACUGUUGGUAGGGGUGGCUAGUACUAGGUAGUUAUGAGAUAAAUGAUUGAUGGACUGAUUAAGUCACAUUAUUAGUUGUGAGCUCGAGCUUUAUUGUUGUACAUUUAUGGGGUUCCUUCUUACUGUAUGCGUGUUACUGUUUUGCGUGAUUGUAUGUAUAGACAUUCAACGCAUAUCACUGACCUCGUUUGUAUAUAUGGAUCUCUUAUACAAUUGUGGAUGUAUAGGAGAAGAUGCCGCCUACCAAAGUGAAUCGUGUGGGGACGAUAUCUCAACCACGUGAGACUCCAGGAGCCCUAAAAAUGGUACGUGGAGGAUAUUCGACUUAGUGUUUUUUUGGUUUUGAUUUCGGUCUUGUGACCCUUUGAAUAAACCUGUGAUGUGGAUUUGAACACGUGGAUUUGUUAUUUUCAACGUGUAUCCGAGAGUGGGAAUUUUAUUAUUGAUCUUGUGAUGACUUUAUAAGGGUUUUUUUAUACUAAACUAUAGCUUUAUGAUCAGUUUGGUGUUUUGUUGGAAUGUAGUAAAUCCAUGUUUUAGCUGUGUUGAGUAGUUUAGUAAAACCUUGGGUUUAGGAUUGCACUAGUUCGGCCAAGUUUGUACGGUGGGGUUUUACAAUUAUUCUAUUAAAGUAUUCUAGAAGUGUUAGGUUACGCUUUGGCUAUAUAAAUCCAAACAUAUACAUUCAGCCAGGCAGAGAGAGAGAUUAAUAAAAGUUGAGUUUUAUAUCUGUUGGUUUGUUUAAUUGCAUGUUGAUUCAUAUUUGGAUGUUUGAGGUGGAGUUGCUAUGAUUCUCCUUUUAAAGAGUGAGGGAAUAAUAUGAUAUUGGGUUAUACUUUAUUAAUAUUUUUGGUUGAUUUGGUUAUGUUCAUUAUUUGCUCACUAUUUAGGAAUAGUUUUCGAGAUUUUCGGUCUAUACAAGAUAGAAUAUAGAAAAUAGACACUAUAUUGAUGUUUAUUUCGUGGGUAUGCUAGAUUUGAAUACGAGAUUUUCGAGUCAUCAAACACAACUUUAUCACCGGAACAACUCUACUUAGUAGGUCCUAUUAGUAUUAAAAUUAGUUUAUUAGCUUUAGAAUUAGUUUAUUAGCAUUAGAAUUAGGUUAUUACCAUUUGUUAAAUAUAUAAUUUCCUUAUCAGUUAGUUUUACAAUUAAGGUUAUUAUUAUUUUAUUAAAGUAUUCUAGUACUGUUAGGUUAGGCUUUGGGUAUAUUAAGUUUUUUGGUGUAACUCCAAAAACAAAAUUAAUGGAAGGGAGGUAAAGUGUUUCGUUGAUAAAGGGAGGAGUUUGUGGAAGGAAGCAGAUUUUUAGGAGGGAAUGGGAGGAAAUUAAAGGGGAAAUCCAAAAUUAAUUUGAAAAUCGACAAAUUUAAUAUUUUUAAGGGAAAUAUUUUGAUGGAAAUAUUCAUCCGGUGUAAACGUUACAUGAUAAAAUAUCAUUGACUUUUUUUAAUAAAAAAUAAGAUUGAGUUAACACCUAAAUAUAUCAAACAAUACAAAUAGAGCAUCUAAAUUUAUUCGAUUUAAAUCCAUUAAGUUCCCUUCACUAUUGCUCAAUAAAUUCACAUCUGAUCCUCCUCCACUGUUGGAUUUGAAUUCACAUGGUUACAAGUACUGCCUUAUGAUCUUACAAUUUUUUUACUGGUUAUGUCCAAUUUUUCAACGAGUUUUUUAUCUCCAUAGUUCAACUAUAACUUGUUUCUGAUCGUUCAAUGUUGCAGGGUAUGCCAAGGACUAGAAAAGUUGAUUCCAGGGAGACUUAGAAACUCUUCAUUCUUGAGCAUCUUCCAAGUAAGUGUGAGUGUAUAACUUUACAACUGUACGAUUUCGACUUGAAACUGAAUAUAGUACCGGUUCUGAUUCUGUGAUUUUCUCGACAGGAAGAUGCCGCUGCAAAACUGUACCUGUAGAGGGUGUUUGAGAACGUUGCAAGUGGGGGCCUGCCUGCACUGCCAUCUCCAUUGAUCGAGAAUGCGAUUAUGAAUCUGGCCCGCAAGUUUUUUCUUUUUCUCUACUUCCAAAGUAACAGUCUCUGGAUUUCUGCAUAAUGUUGUUAGACUACUCAGCUUGUUUGAACUUCUUUUUGGUUAUUACAAUAGUUAACGAGCCAAGCUCAAUCUGAGCUUGAACAUGCAUAA
rnacentral:lncRNA from 1 species